GACGAACGCUGGCGGCGUGCUUAACACAUGCAAGUCGAGCGGAAAGGCCCUGCUUUUGUGGGGUGCUCGAGUGGCGAACGGGUGAGUAACACGUGAGUAACCUGCCCUUGACUUUGGGAUAACUUCAGGAAACUGGGGCUAAUACCGGAUAGGAGCUCCUGCUGCAUGGUGGGGGUUGGAAAGUUUCGGCGGUUGGGGAUGGACUCGCGGCUUAUCAGCUUGUUGGUGGGGUAGUGGCUUACCAAGGCUUUGACGGGUAGCCGGCCUGAGAGGGUGACCGGCCACAUUGGGACUGAGAUACGGCCCAGACUCCUACGGGAGGCAGCAGUGGGGAAUAUUGCACAUUGGGCGGAAGCCUGAUGCAGCAACGCCGCGUGCGGGAUGACGGCCUUCGGGUUGUAAACCGCUUUCGCCUGUGACGAAGCGUGAGUGACGGUAAUGGGUAAAGAAGCACCGGCUAACUACGUG
rnacentral:rRNA from 1 species